AGAAGAAAGCACCGGCUAACUCCGUGCCAGCAGCCGCGGUAAUACGGAGGGUGCGAGCGUUAAUCGGAAUUACUGGGCGUAAAGCGCAUGCAGGCGGCCUGUUAAGUCGGAUGUGAAAGCCCGGGGCUUAACCUCGGAAUUGCAUUUGAAACUGGCAGGCUAGAGUCUUGUAGAGGGGGGUAGGAAUUUCAGGUGUAGCGGUGAAAUGCGUAGAGAUCUGAAGGAAUACCAGUGGCGAAGGCGGCCCCCUCGGACAAAGACUGACGCUCAGAUGCGAAAGCGUGGGGAGCAAACAGGAUUAGAUACCCUGGUAG
rnacentral:rRNA from 1 species